AAUACGUAGGGUGCGAGCGUUGUCCGGAAUUAUUGGGCGUAAAGAGCUCGUAGGCGGUGUGUCGCGUCGGCCGUGAAAACCUGGGGCUCAACUCUGGGCGUGCGGUCGAUACGGGCAUCACUUGAGUUCGGCAGGGGAGACUGGAAUUCCUGGUGUAGCGGUGAAAUGCGCAGAUAUCAGGAGGAACACCGGUGGCGAAGGCGGGUCUCUGGGCCGAUACUGACGCUGAGGAGCGAAAGCAUGGGUAGCGAACAG
rnacentral:rRNA from 1 species